rnacentral:sRNA from 1 species
AUGAUCUCUUGGGAGUAUUGCUGCGUUUCAGGAAAGAAAUGGUCGCAGUUAACUGCAGACGUUCAACAUAUGUUUCACUGCUUUGUUGUCAGAAAAGACCACCGAAAUUAUCUGAGAUUUUUAUGGCAUAAAGACAAUGACCUACAGAAGAACCUUGUCGAAUACCGCAUGAGAGUUCAUGUUUUCGGAAAUAGUCCGUCACCUGCCGUUGCUACGCUUGGACUCAGAAAAGCAGCUCAAGCAUCAGAACAAGAGUUUGGCAGUCACGUGACUAGCUUUGUUACAAGAGACUUCUAUGUCGACGACGGUCUAACGUCAUGUCCUACUAAAGAGGAAGCUGUUAAGCUCAUGAAGGACACACAGCAAGCAUUAGCAAAAUAUGGAAACUUACGCCUUCACAAGUUUGCCUCUAAUUGUGCGGAAGUUAUGUCUGCAUUUCAUGCCAGUGAUUUGGCUUCAAAUCUUAAAGAUCUAGACUUAGAAUGCGACAGCAAACCCCUACAACGUAGUCUUGGUCUCAGCUGGGACGUAAACACUGAUAACUUCUUAUUUCAAUUAUCAUCAGAAAACAAACCGAUCACUCGGAGAGGAAUUUUAUCAACGAUAAACAGUCUCUACGAUCCUCUGGAUUUUUGGCUCCGGUGAUUAUACAAGGGAAACUCCUAUUAAGGAAAAUAGUAUCAGAAACCGUCGAUUGGGACCAACCUCUCUCUGAUGAGACAGCAGAUGAGUGGAAAUCUUGGAGAGAUACUCUAAUUGCUAUCGAAACAUUGCGCAUUCCACGUACCUACGUGCCGUAUCUCAGCAAAACCGCCACAAAGGAGUUACAUGUAUUCUCUGAUGCAUCAGAAAAAGCCAUAGCAGCUGUUGCAUAUCUACGCACGACCGACAGUAGUGGUGAACCAAACAUAGGUUUCAUUCUUGGGAAAGCUAAAGUUGCACCAACAAGUGGUCAUACUAUUCCACGCCUUGAACUAUCUGCUGCAGUAUUAGCAGUCGAGAUAACACAGACCAUCAUGGAUAAUUUAGAUUUACAUAUAGACACCGUAAAAUUCUACACAGACAGUAAAGUAGUCCUAGGCUACAUCAGUAACGAGACAAGAAGGUUCUUUAUCUAUGUCGCCAAUCGAGUAGAGAAAAUAAGGAAAUUUAGCUCUCCAAGUCAAUGGAAUUAUGUACCAACUAACCGUAAUCCCGCAGACUCGGGAACAAGGUCCGUACCAGCCCAUGAAAUUCACAGCAGUGAAUGGUUAUUGGGACCAAAACAACUUCUUUCCUCAGAACAGAAGAAUUCUGAGGACAUAUACCAGCUAAUAGAUCCAGAAGAAGAUGGAGAAAUCCGUGCUACUGUUAAUGUUGCAAAAACAUUUUCCACACCUGAGCAUAAAGGUAUCGGAACUGAUAGAUUCAAUCGAUUCUCCAACUGGACAUCACUUGUGCGAGCGAUAGCCUUUUUGGAACGUUUUCUCCCGUUUACACGGGUCAAAAACAGGCAUCAUCAGUGACUUCUCUGGAUAGUUUUUCGAAUGCCGAAAAUUUCAUCUUAAUAUCUGCACAACAUGAAGUUUAUGGAGAUGAAAUAGAUUGUAUAAAACGUCAGGAACAAAUUAAUAAGCGGAGCCCGAUAGCUAACCUCAAUCCGUUUUUGGACGAACAAGGACUAUUACGAGUAGGAGGCCGUAUUGCCAAAUCUGACUUAGACCUCCGUGAAAAGAAACCAUUGAUCGUCCCUGGACGCCAUCAUAUAGCGACAUUAUUAGUUCGACACUACCACAACAAGAUAAAACAUCAAGGUCGCCAUUUCACAGAUGGAGCGAUUCGAUCCGCAGGAUUUUGGAUCGUAGGAGCAAAACGCUUGAUCUCAUCUAUUAUUCACAAAUGUGUGACAUGCCGCAAACUCAGAGGAAAAACCGAGUAUCAAAUCAUGUCUGAUUUGCCAGAGGACCGUCUUGAACCUUCACCUCCGUUUACUAACGUUGGAAUAGACACCUUUGGACCCUGGACAAUUGUUUCACGUAAAACACGUGGUGGAUACGCCAACAACUCAAAACGUUGGGCAAUUUUAUUCACAUGCUUAGUGACAAGAGCUAUUCACAUCGAAUUAAUCGAGGAAAUGAGUUCUUCAGCCUUCAUAAACGCUGUCAGGAGAUUCGCCGCUAUAAGAGGCCAAGUUAAGAUUUUCCGAUCUGACCGUGGAACGAACUUUAUCGGCGCAAUCGACGAUUUAAAGAUUGACUCAAUCAACGUUGAAGAUGGACCCUUCAAGAACUUUCUGUACAAUUCUGGUACAACUUGGAUCUUCAAUCCGCCGCAUUCGUCCCACAUGGGUGGAGCCUGGGAAAGAAUGAUUGGUAUCACCAGGAGAAUUCUUGAUUCUAUGCUUCUUAACGCAGCCGGAAGAAGCCUAACACAUGACGUGCUCAACACACUAAUGGCAGAAGUUUCAGCAAUAGUGAACUCUAGACCUCUGGUACCGGUAUCAACAGAUCCAGAGAAUCCGUUAAUAUUAACUCCGGCUAUGUUAUUGACACAGAAAAACCGACUACAUAUUCACCUUCAGAUCAUCUUGGAGAAUUCGAUAAACGAGAUCUAUGUCUUGCCGAAUGGAGACGAGUACAGGCUCUUGCCAGUGUUUUCUGGUCCCGUUGGAGGAAGGAAUACCUGCCGUUACUACAACAACGACGAAAAUGGACCGAAGAUCGCCGUGAUCUCAUCGAAGGAGACGUCAUUCUUCUAA